CGUGGAGACAGGUGGUGCAUGGCUGUCGUCAGCUCGUGUCGUGAGAUGUUGGGUUAAGUCCCGCAACGAGCGCAACCCUCACCCCUAGUUGCCACCGGGUUAAGCCGAGCACUCAAGGGGAACUGCCAGCGUCAAGCUGGAGGAAGGCGGGGAUGACGUCAAGUCAUCAUGCCCCUUACGCCCUGGGCUACACACGUGCUACAAUGGCCAGUACAAAGGGACGCGAGACUGCGAAGUGGAGCUAAUCCCAAAAAGCUGGUCUAAGUUCAGAUUGCAGUCUGCAACUCGACUGCAUGAAGGAGGAAUCGCUAGUAAUCGCGUAUCAGCCCGGCGCGGUGAAUACGUUCCCGGGCCUUGUACACACCGCCCGUCACACCACGAAAGUUGUCUGUACUCGAAGUCGCUGAG
rnacentral:rRNA from 1 species